GACCAACGCUAACGGUGUGCUUAAUACAUGCAAGUCGAACGAGCAAUGUGAGAGUGGCAACACUCCUGCAAAGCUAGUGGCGAACGGGUGAGUAACGCGUAGGUAAUCUACCUUGAAGAUUAGGAUAACCUUCCGAAAGGAAGGCUAAUACUAAAAUUUUAUGUUUUUCGUAUGAUUAAUAUAACAAAGGUAGCCGCAAGGCCUCCGCUUUAAGAUGAACCUGCGUCCUAUUAGCUUGUUGGUAAGGUAAUGGCUUACCAAGGCUAUGAUGGGUAGCCGGCCUGAGAGGGUGAUCGGCCACACUGGGACUGAGAUACGGCCCAGACUCCUACGGGAGGCAGCAGUAGGGAAUAUUGCGCAAUGGGCGAAAGCCUGACGCAGCGACACCGUGUGAAGGAUGAAGGUCUUCGGAUCGUAAACUUCUGUCAAUCGGGGACGAAGGUAAUAAGGUUAAUAGCCUUUAUUAUUGACGGUACCCAAUAAGGAAGUCUCGGCUUACUCCGUGCCAGCAGCCGCGGUAAGACGGAGGAGGCAAGUGUUGUCCGGAAUCAUUGGGCGUAAAGAGCGCGUAGGCGGUUUUUCAAGUCGUAUGUGAAAACUUCAGGCUUAACCUGAUGAUUGCAUAUGAAACUGGAUAACUUGAGUACAGCAGAGGAAAGUAGAAUUCCUGGUGUAGCGGUGAAAUGUGCAGAUAUCAGGAAGAACACCGGUAGCGAAGGCGGCUUUCUGGGCUGUUACUGACGCUGAGGCGCGAAAGCUAGGGGAGCAAACAGGAUUAGAUACCCUGGUAGUCCUAGCCGUAAACGAUGGACACUAGGUGUGGGAAGUUAUCGACGCUUUCUGUGCCGAAGCUAACGCAUUAAGUGUCCCGCCUGGGGAGACGGCCGCAAGGCU
rnacentral:rRNA from 1 species